UUAUAUUUUGAUAUUAAUUUUUAUAGGAGCCACAACCAUGCUUAUGCAAGAGAAAACAUAAUAACCAACAGAAUAGUAAGCAAAUAUUUACUUCAUGCUUCAUGGGUAAGCUUAGUGGCUUUUUUUCUGUUUUACAGGCAGAUAUUUCUGAUUAUACUGUCCGCUCUUGGUGUUUUCUUGCGUUUAGAAGGUGGUCUCCUUGGACCAAACUCUUUCCCUGUAUCAAUUCUUCUUCUUACUUGCAUUACGGUUUGGUUGUUGACCAACGGUUUAUAAUCAAAAUUUAAUAUGGCUGGCGGUAAAGGUAAAGAGAAGUUUAAAGGAACAAACAUUAGAGAGCGUUUUGUCAAUUAAAGUGGCUGCUACAGUUACCGAAAUAAGAAAAGGAAUAAUGACUUUAUUAAAAUACGCACUCGACAGAUCAAAUGGUGGUGAUCGGCGCGUAAAAGGCAAUUCACCUGAUGUAUAACAUUCAUACUUUUUCCUAGUUGUUCUGGAACUAUUGAUAAUAGUUAUUAUUGAUAAAUUGAUAAAUAUAUUACUGAUAAAUAAAA